rnacentral:rRNA from 1 species
CCUACGGGAGGCAGCAGUGGGGAAUAUUGGACAAUGGGCGAAAGCCUGAUCCAGCCAUGCCGCGUGUGUGAAGAAGGCCUUCGGGUUGUAAAGCACUUUCAGUGGGGAAGAAAGCCUUGGGGCUAAUACCCUCGAGGAAGGACAUCACCCACAGAAGAAGCACCGGCUAACUCCGUGCCAGCAGCCGCGGUAAUACGGAGGGUGCGAGCGUUAAUCGGAAUUACUGGGCGUAAAGCGCGCGUAGGCUGGCUGAUAAGCCGGUUGUGAAAGCCCCGGGCUCAACCUGGGAACGGCAUCCGGAACUGUCAGGCUAGAGUGCAGGAGAGGAAGGUAGAAUUCCCGGUGUAGCGGUGAAAUGCGUAGAGAUCGGGAGGAAUACCAGUGGCGAAGGCGGCCUUCUGGACUGACACUGACGCUGAGGUGCGAAAGCGUGGGUAGCAAACAGGAUUAGAUACCCGUGUAGUC